ensembl:lncRNA
GCUGGCUGGUUGGUUGACGAGUCACCUGAGUCGGUUUGUGGCGGGAGCUGAAGCCUUCAGACAGGUGAUUGGAUGCAACGAUGACGGCGAAUCAGUGACGCAUCAUCAGAUCACCACCGAGGAAGAAGCAGCGACGUCGUCCUCAGACAUGGCCGAUGUUCGGUUACAGUAGUCGACCCAUGUGGACCAGAUAUACCAGAAGGAGACCCCGAACUUCACCAAUCCUCCGACUCCAAACCAACCCUCACUCCAAUCCGUUCGUCCUCAGGUGUCGCCUCCAUCACUCAGACCGCUUCAGACGCGUAUGUGCCAUCCCCGCAUUUCAGAGUCAUCCAUCCAUUUGUAGCCCAGCCGACCACUGACCCGAACUCCCUCCGCCCUCCCGUCAGCCAUCCGUCACCUUUCCCAAAUCGAGCUGAUGGUGGAACUGUGUGGCAACCUUCACCCUACCAUCCAUCAGAAACAGAGAGUAACCCAAGUUAUGAGAAUCCAGGUAUUGGACCUGAAUCUUUGGAGAGCGACGCUGAUGAAGCCGGAUCCGGAUACAUAAUCGUGAUACCCGAAGGACAAGAUCCUGUGACCAAUCGAAGCGGAGCCUCAACGCCCAGUUCAGAUGUUCAGAACGACCACGACUAUGUGAACAUCGCAAAGGAAGCUUCAACAGACUAUCUGAAUGUGGACUCGAUGUACAAUCAAAGGCCGACAUCAGCGACAACGGCUACAACUGACAGCGACGACGACGAUGAUGACGAUGAAACAGGAAACUACGUGAACCAACAACCUAUGAUCCACAGCUAACCAGGUGCAGGAUGGGACAAGACGACCGACUGAGCUUCAUUCUUCUUCCUUCACAAAACUGCUGACGGUGUUUAUUUAAAGAGCUGAGAGAUGUUUCCCCACCGAGAACUGAGAAUUCCUGCUCGUGUUCAACGUCACGUUUAAAUUCAUUUUAGGUUUUUUUUAUUACCUUUUCAAUCAUCACUUCUUUCCUACAAUCUGAAUCUGUCCUCCACACAGAGGAGCUACCAUGUUUGAGCUUUACUUUGACUUUACUGACAAUCCUGAGAAUGUCUUGAUUCGCUAAUGAUCUAUUUGUGUUGUUGCCGUGGUUACUGUUGUCUCCAGGUCUAUAAUCCAACUGUGUGAACGAGAAAUGUUUUUAAGCAACUACAAUUCAAUUAAACAUAUACAAACCUCG